AAAUGCGUAGAUAUCGAGAGGACAACCGGUGGCGAAGGCGGCUUCNUGGACGAAACCUGACUCUGAAACACGAAAGCUAGGGGAGCAAACGGGAUUAGAUACCCCGGUAGUCCUAGCUGUAAACGGUGUGCGUUAGGUGUUGGCGGAUUCGACCCCGCCGGUGCCGAAGCUAACGCAUUAAACGCACCGCCUGAGGAGUACGGUCGCAAGGCUAAAACUCAAAGAAAUUGACGGGGGCCCGCACAAGCGGUGGAGCAUGUGGCUUAAUUCGAUGCAACGCGAAGAACCUUACCUGGCCUUGACAUGCAGCGUUCAGUCCCGGAAACGGGAUGGCCCGCAAGGGCGAGCUGCACAGGUGCUGCAUGGCUGUCGUCAGCUCGUGUCGUGAGAUGUUGGGUUAAGUCCCCCAACGAGCGCAACCCCUGUGUUUAGUUGCCGAAAGGUUCUCUAGACAGACUGCCCUCUUCAAGGGGGAGGAAGGUGGGGACGACGUCAAGUCGGGAUGGCCCUUAUGGCCAGGGCUGCACACGUGCUACAAUGCUCGGCACAAAGGGAAGCAAGACCGCGAGGUGGAGCAAAUCCCCAAAACCGAGCCCAGUUCGGAUUGAAGGCUGCAACUCGCCUUCAUGAAGCCGGAAUCGCUAGUAAUGGCGCAUCAGCUACGGCGCCGUGAUACGUUCCCGGGCG
rnacentral:rRNA from 1 species